UCGAGAAUCUUCGGCAAUGCGCGCAAGCGUGACCGAGCGACGCCGCGUGCGGGAUGAAGGCCUUCGGGUUGUAAACCGCGAAAGUGAGGAGGAAAUCGCUGGGGGUUCUCCCCCAGUGUUGACCUAUUCACAGUAAGGACGGGCUAAGUUCGUGCCAGCAGCCGCGGUAAUACGAACCGUCCAAACGUUAUUCGGAAUCACUGGGCUUAAAGGGUACGUAGGCGGCGCUGUUAGUCGGGUGUGAAAGCCCACGGCUCAACCGUGGAAUUGCGCCCGAUACUGCAGUGCUUGAGGGAGACAGAGGUAAGCGGAACUGAUGGUGGAGCGGUGAAAUGCGUUGAUAUCAUCAGGACACCGGUGGCGAAAGCGGCUUACUGGGUCUCUUCUGACGCUGAGGUACGAAAGCUAGGGGAGCGAAGGGGAUUAGAUACCCCCGUAGUCCUAGCUGUAACGUUGAGCACUUGAUCGUGGCCCCCCCGAUAGGCUCUCGGUCGUAGCGAAGUG
rnacentral:rRNA from 1 species